ensembl:lncRNA
CUGCAGAGUUUUACAGCCAGAGAAAACAUUCAGCUUUAAUGGACAGUGUCCUUUUUUUUCUUAUAGCAUUUUCAGGCUAGAUAGUUGAGCAUAAUCAUAGUUCUUUUCUAUACACUCACAAUAGGUGUGUUUUGGUGGAAAGUGUGUAAUCUCUGAGAUUUUUUUUUCCUCACAGGUUCAAAUGUUAUGAAUACAGAAUGUUCUGUAAUUUUGUUUUUAAAGUAUUGCAAUGGAGCUCAGAUACCUAUUCAUUCUUCUAUUGCAGACUGUACUGUCAAGUUUUUCCUGAAUGGACUGUUUGGUGGACUACAACGUGUGACUGAGUUUGUACUGGUGUGGGCCCCACGUGCUGACGUACCAGCCAUCAAGCAUCCAUAUUCUCUGGUCUCAGCAGGAGGCAGACAGGCAGUGUUUUUCUGCAUCCCAGUUGCACAGCAGAAUUUCCUGCACCGCAUCUGCAAUCUCCCUCACCUUGAUGUUGUUAGACAUAUUACCUUUGAGAAAAUGAAAGAGCGUCUUUCUGCAGGAGAGGAUGAAAGGGCGCUGGCCUCCAUCUUAGCAGCACGGAGACGAUCUCUCCACAGGGCACCGCAGCUUUCUGAUGCCUCCUGACAGCUCAGGACUUUCCUCAACUUUCAAGUCGUGAUACAGUAGUCAAAUAGCUCUGGGGGAGAAAGAAACCAUAAUGGGAGAGAUGAGAGAGAGGGAAUCUUAUCUCCUUUUUUUUUUUUUCUUUUUAGCUUAACAAGUGCUGCGAUCUAAUUACCUGGGCAGAGACGUCUGGAGAUGAGAGAAGAUUCUAGAAAUGUGUUUGUGUUAUGUAUGUGCACAUAUGAUGAUAUUUUUACUCACAAAGAACUUGUUACAAAAUGUGUAAAGGAUUUAGCAUGUAAAUGUAUAGACACAAAUGAAUGGAGACGGCGGUUCCGACAAAUGUACCAAACUGUAACGAGCAGUAUUAAUAAUGAUAGUUCAUAUGACGAGAAAAGAGUGUGAUUGGUUAGUUUUGAUGUUUUUGGUCUGUGUUGCAUUUAUAUUUCACUUGAACCGCACCCGAGUUUGUUUAGAAGCGGGUCGAGAGUCCCAUCUUUUUAGGAGGUCUCGGUCCAUUUGUUUAAUGUACUGUACUAACAGAGCAAUCACAUUGAUUUAAUCCAAACCUGGCGUGUGAAAAAAAAAAAAAAAAAAAAAAAAAAAAAAAAAAGGUUCCAAAAGGGUUUUUGCAGCGAUGCCAGAAGAGUCAUCUUUGGUUUUCCCCAAGAACCUGAAAAGGUUCCAUGGUUGUUAAAGUUCUUCAUGGGACCAUAGAUGUCAACAUUAAACCUUUAUUUUUAGAGAGUGUAAUAGCAGACAACCUGGAUUAUACAGAACAAACUGAUCCACUGCUGCUAAUCAAAUGCGUAUGCACGUACAAACACAAAGAAAGCUGAAUGAAGAGAGGAUUUGAAGCCUAUUAGAUUGGUGAUGUGAACACAGGCAUAGACAUGUCAUGCUUAAUUCUGGUCCAGGGAUUUCCAAUGGGUUUGACUCCGGCAGACUGGUGUUUCUGUUGAUGGGACUUUAAAUGAGACAUUCUUGUAAAGCAGAGAUCAUGAUACGAACAGCUUCCGUAUAAACAAUCUUACAUGCAUGAAAACACACAUUCAUACCCAGGCACACACAGAGACAUGUGGGAACACACACACACACACACACACACACACACACACACAUGCAUAUAUGCACAUACAGCAAAGUGUAAGGAGAGUGGGAGGGAGGGAUGGAGAGAUCAGGAUGAAGAGCGAGAAGAUGAAUAGCAGGAUAAUUAGCCUCAUCUCCCAGGACCUGACAGAAAAAUGCAGUUGAGAUGGAUGGAGUCCAUGGAAAAAUAGAGCCUAUAGUCCACCCCCUGCCCCCCCUUCACCCAUCCCCCCCAAGUCCUCUUCCCAUCCCGGCAUUCAAACAGGACUACGGAGAGAGGCAGAGCGAGAGAGAAAGAGUAAGAGCAUCCCUAUUGGGUUGGUUAUCAAAAGCCCCUCAUUCCCCAGAAAUCCUCUCUGAGAAGUCAGCAAGGAGAGUCUGAAAGAGAAAAACACAGUUUUAAACCUGACAAAGAAAGCCACAAAACUCAUUAAAAAAUCACCUUAGAGCCGUAAUUUACCACAGUUUCUUUUUGAAUAUUUUUCUUUUAAUAAAAAAUAUAGAUGUAUUCGAACA